UACGUAGGGGGCAAGCGUUAUCCGGAUUUACUGGGUGUAAAGGGAGCGUAGACGGCAAGGCAAGCCUGGAGUGAAAGGCGGGGGCCCAACCCCCGGACUGCUCUGGGAACUGUCUAGCUAGAGUGCAGGAGGGGUAAGUGGAAUUCCUAGUGUAGCGGUGAAAUGCGUAGAUAUUAGGAGGAACACCAGUGGCGAAGGCGGCUUACUGGACUGUAACUGACGUUGAGGCUCGAAAGCGUGGGGAGCAAACAGG
rnacentral:rRNA from 1 species